rnacentral:rRNA from 1 species
UGGGGAAUCUUGGACAAUGGGGGCAACCCUGAUCCAGCGAUGCCGCGUGAGCGAAGAAGGCCUUAGGGUUGUAAAGCUCUUUCGCCCGCGACGAUGAUGACGGUAGCGGGAGAAGAAGCCCCGGCUAACUCCGUGCCAGCAGCCGCGGUAAUACGGAGGGGGCUAGCGUUGUCCGGAAUUACUGGGCGUAAAGCGCGCGUAGGCGGUCCACCAAGUCGGGGGUGAAAGCCCGGGGCUCAACCCCGGAAUGUCCUCCGAUCAUGUUGGACUAGAGUGCGGGAGAGGAGAGCGGAAUUCCCAGUGUAGAGGUGAAAUUCGUAGAUUUUGGGAAGAACACCGGUGGCGAAGGCGGCCAGCUGGACGGACACUGGCGCUGAGGCG